rnacentral:lncRNA from 1 species
AGAAGAGAGCUGGGUCGACGGCCGACCGUUCGGGACCGGUGCGGCGGUCUGUGGCGGCCGGACGGCGACGGACGGGACUGGGUUAUCCGGCGGGUCGGGAAGAGUUCGGGAGAAAAAGGAGAGAGAAGGGAGAGAGGGAGAGAGAAUGGGGUUUGGGCUCUCCAAAUCCUACCCGGUCCAACUUAAAACCCACAACAAAUAAAGCCUACUAGAAUUUACCUCAUUUUACCAACAUAGAAACUUUAGUUAUUAGACCAUAACUUCUUCAUACGAACACCGUUUUAAGCGUGCCGCAUGUCCACGAACUCUGUUUAACGUCCUCUACGACUUUCAUGAAGGAAGUUUUCCCAAAUUCCAAACGGAAAAAAAGUCAAUUUUUGGAGUCUUAAAUAGUAAACGGUUACUUAAAACGGUAAAAAGUCAAAGUAACCCAAUAGUAAAUAACUGCAAAUUGACUUAAGAACCGGGAUGUGACAAAGGUAACAUUUUUAUGCCGAAAUGCACAAAUCUUUACUAAAGUCUUAACAAACCAUAUUAUUUUAAGACUAUUUUACCCUCACCCCUUAAACAUGCAUAGAGAGAGAAAGUGGAAGAAAAAGAAUAAUUGGCCGGAACCUCACCGACUCCGGUUACCAGCCGCCGGACUCUGGUCAACGGCCGCGGGACUCCGGUCACCGGCCGUCGGACUCCGGUCACCGGAAUUUCCCCAGUAACCAGUUACUGACCCCUAGUAACCAGUUAAUGGCCAAUUAUUGACACCCAAUAACCAGUUAUUGACUCCCAAUAACUAGUUAUUGACCAGUUACUGACACCUAGUAACUAGUUACUGACCCCUAGUAAUUGAGUUACUUUGGUCACCGGCUGUCGGAAUUGAGUUACUGACCCCCAAUAACUGAAUAACUCGAGUUAUUGACCCUCAAUAAUCGAUUAUUGACCUCAGUAAUCGCUUACUGACCCUCAGUAAUCGAUUACUGACCCUAGUAAUCGAGUUACUGACGCCCAGUAAUCGAUUAUUGACCCUCAGUAAUAGAGUUACUGACACCCAGUAAUCUGCAACUGACCCCAAUAAUCAUGUUAAAAUAUAACUUUCUGUUCAAAA